GGCUGACCCACUGUCACUUGGCAGUUCAGCGGUCCCUGCUGAGCAGGACAAGGACUGAGGACAUCCGCGGAGGGUUCCACAUAGAUGUAACCGGCUGAGGCUGGAGCAGAUGCUGUCGGGUAUGUGGGGAGGAACACUGUUACCUGGCAGCUCAGAGGUCCCUGCUGAGCAGGUCAGGGAUUGAGGACAUCUGUGGAGGAUUUCGCACAGAUGUAACCUGCUGAGACUGGAGCAGAUGCUGUCAGGACUCCAAGGUGGAUGACAUUGCCAAGUUCCUGGAGUACUUCCUCAGAGAGGCUCAGCAGAGAGAGAUGUUAAAGAUAAUGCCAGUUGGCACUACCGAG
rnacentral:lncRNA from 1 species